rnacentral:lncRNA from 1 species
CUGCUUUUUAGCUCCAGGGGAGAAAGGAGGGCACAGUGCCCAAGGCCAUGCCAGGGCAAGGACGGGCCACUGGCCCCCGCCGGCCGGUAGAGUCAACCAGAGGCAAAGCCAGAUUGAGGGUUCCCAGGCUGACAAAUGUCUGCUGCCUCUGCCACAGGAGAGAGAAGGGGAAAGAGGGCAAAAGAAACAAAGACAUCACGCGUUGCAAGUGGCUGGACUUUUAAAAACCUACCUUUGCCUCCAGGGUUUUCUAGGUUACUGUCACCCCACUUCCUAAAAAGUGUCUCCCCCCUCAUCCUAUUUAAGACCUGAUGCAGUCUCCCCACUGGUUCUCCCAGGGAAAGAAAAGGGGAAAUGUUUUGUUGAAAAUAAAAGGGAUGACAAGAAAGAAAGGAAAAAAAGCUAUUGUUUUCAUCCCUAAUUUAUAAUCCAAGAGGCCCCCAAUUGUUUCUUUCUGACUCAAAUCUUUGAGCUGUUAAUUAUAAAAGUAACUGGACUUGGCGCCAACGGGCUAACUAUGAUCAGGCUCAGCAAUUAGAAAAACUCUGUAGAAAGUUUACUGAGUGAUUAUAUAUAAUUAAUUCCUAGUUACAGACUGAACACUGACCAUUUUCUGGAGCUAAUAAAAGCAGUUACUCCCCCUCCCCCACGUGAAUGCCACUUAAUUUCCCAAAGCAGAAAGUGAAUCCAUCCUGGAGGGUCUUGAAGGAAAAAAAAGGAGAGGAAUCAAAA